UACGAAGGGUGCAAGCGUUACUCGGAAUUACUGGGCGUAAAGCGUGCGUAGGUGGUUUGUUAAGUCUGUUGUGAAAGCCCCGGGCUCAACCUGGGAAUGGCAAUGGAUACUGGCAAGCUAGAGUGCGGUAGAGGGUAGUGGAAUUCCCGGUGUAGCGGUGAAAUGCGUAGAGAUCGGGAGGAACACCAAUAGCGAAGGCAGCUCGCUGGGACGUUACUGACACUGAGGCGCGAAAGCGUGGGGAGCGAACAGG
rnacentral:rRNA from 1 species